AUGGAAGAUAAGUUAUCUGGUUCACUUGCACCUCUCUGUAACUAUAGUGGUUCUAUGGAGUGCCUUACUGAUGACCUCAACAUUGUUUUGUCUGUUGCCAUUGAUUCAGUUGCUCCGUACGUAACUAAAAAACGAACAUUGAAAAAACCAGCUCCUUGGUUUAAUGCAGAAACUCGCAUUUUUAAGCGAAAUUGCAGGAUCCUUGAACGCAAAUGGCGCUCGACUAAACUUGAGGUCUUUCAUCUUGCAUGGCAUAAUAGUCUGAUCACCUAUAAGGGUGCGCUGACUAUCGCCAGGAACGCCUACUUUUCUAGUAUCAUUAAUUUGAAUAGAAAUAAUCCUAAGUUUCUUUUUGACACGGUGAGGAGUCUCUCUCAGAAACAGAAUCAGACCGUAGGCUCCUCGAUCUCGGCAGGUGAAUUCAUGGAUUUCUUUGAGAAUAAGAUUCAAUCAAUUAGAGAGGAAAUUGAUGCUUACCGGGCGGCUAAUCCUACACAUCCCGUGGGGCAGGAUGGGGUUCUGCCAAAUAGGAUGGUGAACUCUGACGCAACUCUUUUGGAGUUUAAGGCGAUUUCCUUGGUGGAACUUGAAAGGGUGAUAAAGGCCUCAAAGCCAACAACUUGUAUGUUGGAUCCGCUCCCUUCUAGGGUUCUUAAGGAUCUUUUUCCAACGGUGGGGCCUGUUAUCCUCUUGCUUAUGAAUCUUUCGUUUUCAACAGGAAUUGUUCCUUCCAAUUUCAAGGCUGCGGUGUUAAAACCGCUACUCAAAAAGCCUGGCCUAGAUCCUGAAUUAGUCAGGAACUAUCGGCCUAUAUCGAAUCUGCCCUUCUUGUCUAAGGUACAGGAAAGGAUUGUAGCAAAGCAAAUUGUUGACUAUUUGACGAGGAAUAAUCUCUUCGAACCUUUCCAGUCGGGGUUCAGGAAUUUCCACUCAACUGAAACUGCUAUUACAAGAGUUGUAAAUUACAUCCUUCUUGCUUUGGAUAAAAAUACAAGCACAAUGCUUGUGAUGUUGGAUCUGAGCGCUGCGUUUGAUACGAUUGACCAUAGCACUCUUCUUCACCGUCUUGAACACUGUUGGUUUCGGGGGUACGGCUCUUGGUUGGCUUGA
rnacentral:lncRNA from 1 species